rnacentral:rRNA from 1 species
GGGCGCAAUGUCACCGUCGUACGGGUGCGUAACGCGUAUGCAACCUACCUACAACUGGGGGAUAGCCCGGGGAAACCCGGAUUAAUACCGCAUAAUACAGGGGUAUCACCUGAUACUAUUUGUUAAAGAUUUAUUGGUUGAAGAUGGGCAUGCGUUCGAUUAGCUAGUUGGCGGGGUAACGGCCCACCAAGGCGACGAUCGAUAGGGGAGCUGAGAGGUUGAUCCCCCACACGGGCACUGAGAUACGGGCCCGACUCCUACGGGAGGCAGCAGUAGGGAAUAUUGGGCAAUGGAUGCAAGUCUGACCCAGCCAUGCCGCGUGCCGGAUGAAGGCCCUCAGGGUUGUAAACGGCUUUUAUUCGGGAAGAAGAGCAGGGAUGCGUCCUUGUGUGACGGUACCGAAUGAAUAAGCACCGGCUAACUCCGUGCCAGCAGCCGCGGUAAUACGGAGGGUGCGAGCGUUGUCCGGAUUUAUUGGGUUUAAAGGGUGCGUAGGUGGCUGUUUAAGUCAGUGGUGAAAUACGGUUGCUCAACAAUCGAGGUGCCAUUGAUACUG